rnacentral:sRNA from 1 species
AUCUAUCGCUGCCAAUCUAUUGCUGCUAAUCUAUCGCUGCUAAUCUAUCGCUGCUGCCAAUCUAUCUAUCGCUGCUAAUCUAUCGCCGCUGCCAAUCUAUCCCUCACUGCUAAGCUAUCCCUCGCUGCUAAGCUAUCCCUCACUGCUAAGCUAUCCCUCGCUGCUAAGCUAUCCCUCGCUGCUAAGCUAUCCCUCACUGCUAAGCUAUCCCUCGCUGCUAAGCUAUCCCUCACUACUAAGCUAUCUAUCACUGCUAAUCUAUCGCUGCCAACCUAUCUAUCACUGCCAAUCUAUCUAUCGCUGCUAAUCUAUCGCUGCUAAUCUAUCGCUGCCAACCUAUCUAUCGCUGCCAAUUUAUCUACCACUGCCAAUCUAUCUAUCGCUGCCAAUUUAUCUACCACUGCCAAUCUAUCUAUCGCUGCUAAUCUAUCGCUGCUAAUCUAUCACUGCCAACCUAUCCAUCGCUGCCAAUUUAUCUACCACUGCCAAUCUAUCUAUCACUGCUAAUCUAUCGCUGCUAAUCUAUUGCUGCUAAUCUAUUGCUGCUGCCAAUCUAUCUAUCACUGCUAAUCUAUUGCUGCUAAUCUAUCACUGCUAAUCUAUCGCUGCUAAUCUAUCGCUGCUAAUCUAUCGCUGCUAAUCUAUUGCUGCUAAUCUAUCGCUGCCAACCUAUCUACCGCGGCGAAUCUAUCUAUUGCUGCCAAUCAACCUACCACUGCCAACC